rnacentral:lncRNA from 1 species
UUCUGGGCUAGUAUUGUCUUAGACUCUCCUGGCAUGCUGUAGUCACGUGGCCCCUUGCAUUGCGAAGAUUGUAAACGUGGAUCCGUGAAAUGUUGCUUUGCCUUUUACUUUGCCAUCUGGAUUUCAUUCUCUCAGUUCCCACACCUGAGUUCAGGGUCCUAAGUGAUGCAUCAAGAGCCAACCCCCCCUUUUCAGAUCUCAUUCUUCACUCGGCACUGCAAGAUUAACGUCACAUCUACACUGUAGCAGCUUGUAAGGUGUUUCCAACUUGCUGAGUUAGAUGAUGAAAAAGAAAAAAGGUCUGGUGCUGUUCUAGAUCAUACAAUGGGAAGUCAUCACAGCAACCAGAAAUUUCUCAAAUAUAGAAGGGUCAGUAAGGUUACCUUUCCCAGGAGUCCGAGCCCUUUUGGGACCAUCUUUUGUGUGCUACAGUUUAGGACAAGCGACCGAAGAUCCCCUGCUGUGGAGAAUUACGAACUCCGGCACUUGAGUGUGAUGGAGAUGAGGUGCCCCCGCGCACGAGGCCACUCUGACAUGAAGACUGAAGAUUGCUUCUAACUGAAGAUAAUUGAGAAAGAGCAAACUGCAGAAAAAGCUCUUUACCCUCCCGCUUUUUCUUAAAAGCAGUGCAUAAAUUCUUCUUUGUGAUGGCAUCCCCACCCCUCUCCCCUACCAAGAAGAUCAGAAUGACUUUUAAUCACUGGGGAUGACUCCUGCCUGCCCAGAGAGGCACUAAGAGGAAUCGCGUGACAAACUUUACUAAAAUAACCCGUAUCUUCCAACAGUUUUCCCAUAUAUUUACCUUCCCAUACUUUACUGUCCCUUAAAGCUCAAAACCUCUUUUGCCUUGUCACUUCUCCAGAAAGUUAUAGCCCUUUGUUCAAAUGGUAUAUAAAUCUCCAGGUCUGACUACCUCUUUGGGGUUUUCAUUUUAUUUCUGUGAGCCACCCCCCCCCCAGCCCCGCCCCGCCAGCAUCUGAAAUAAACUUCUUCUGUGAGUCUGUCUUUUGUCA